CUACUACUAAACCAGGAGAAGUAAAAGACAUGGAAGUGACUGCAAUACAUGUGAAUUAUCUGUAUGAUUGCACUAGAUGAAAGACUUCCUGUGCAUCUGGGAACAGUAAAGGACCCUGCAAUGGAUAGUACGGCAAGCAUGACUGACAGAUCAGGAAUUCCUGCUCAGUGCCGUAUCCUCAAUGCUCUUUGCUUUGCUCUGUGCAAGGCGAGCAACUAAGACUUCACAUAUAGUACCUGAGAAAGUGAUAAGAAGAUUUGCCUGCUCAUUAAACGACUUUUUUUAUAAAUACCUUGUGGCU